rnacentral:rRNA from 1 species
AUUGAACGCUGGCGGCAGGCUUAACACAUGCAAGUCGAGCGGGGUGAUGGUGCUUGCACUAUCACUUAGCGGCGGACGGGUGAGUAAUGCUUAGGAAUCUGCCUAUUAGUGGGGGACAACAUCUCGAAAGGGAUGCUAAUACCGCAUACGUCCUACGGGAGAAAGCAGGGGAUCACUUGUGACCUUGCGCUAAUAGAUGAGCCUAAGUCGGAUUAGCUAGUUGGUGGGGUAAAGGCCUACCAAGGCGACGAUCUGUAGCGGGUCUGAGAGGAUGAUCCGCCACACUGGGACGGGGACACGGCCCAGACUCCUACGGGAGGCAGCAGUGGGGAAUAUUGGACAAUGGGGGGAACCCUGAUCCAGCCAUGCCGCGUGUGUGAAGGAGGCCUUAUGGUUGUAAAGCACUUUAAGCGAGGAGGAGGCUCUUUUGGUUAAUACCCAAGAUGAGUGGACGUUACUCGCAGAAUAAGCACCGGCUAACUCUGUGCCAGCCGCCGCGGUAA